UGUACCUACGGGACGCAGCAGUGGGGAAUAUUGCACAAUGGGGGGAACCCUGAUGCAGCGACGCCGCGUGGGUGAAGGAGUAUUUCGGUAUGUAAAGCCCUAUCAGCAGGGAAGAACAAUGACGGUACCUGACUAAGAAGCCCCGGCUAACUACGUGCCAGCAGCCGCGGUAAUACGUAGGGGGCGAGCGUUAUCCGGAUUUACUGGGUGUAAAGGGAGCGUAGACGGCUGGGCAAGCCUGAUGUGAAAGGCGGGGGCGCAACCCUCGGACUGCAUUGGGAACUGUCCGGCUGGAGCGCCGGAGG
rnacentral:rRNA from 1 species